rnacentral:rRNA from 1 species
UACAGAGGCCCCAAGCGUUACUGAGAAUCACUGGGUUUAAAGGGUGCGUAGGUGGCGCGUUAAGUCCGUUGUGAAAGCCCUGGGCUCAACCCAGGAACUGCUUCGGAUACUGGCGCGCUUGAGGCUAGUAGGGGUCACUGGAACUGACGGUGGAGCGGUGAAAUGCGUAGAUAUCGUCAGGAACGCCAAUGGUGAAGACAGGUGACUGGGCUAGUUCUGACACUGAGGCACGAAAGCAUGGGGAGCGAACGGG